UCCAGCAGGCAGUGACGUGGGCAAGCCGACGAGCACACAGGUGGCCCAGAAGGUGGCAGCGGGUUUGGUGUGUCCAGGUUCUUCCCAGGGCGUCCCGCGGCCAGGUGAUGCUGCUGCUGGCCAAGGUGUGACGAUGAUGGCCUUCACCUGGUCUUCCAUAUGGCGCUAAUCCAGGAAAGAAGAAGUGAUAUGCUCUUAUAAGCUCAGAGGAUAAAGAAGAAAUAGAUAACAAGGCAAUCAGAUCAAGUAUUGGUAUCACUGGGACGGCCUAUAACAACCUAAGGCGUCUAUGAUAGCUAAGGAGAUGAUCAGGUAGUGAGCAGUCACGUUUGGAGAAUAAAAAGAAAUAUAUGGGACGGUCUAACAACCUAACGAGUUUGUGAUAGCUAUGGAGAUGAUUAGGUAGUCAGCAGUCACGUUCGGAGACUAAAAAGAAAUAUAUGACAAGGCAAUCGGCUGAAGUAUUGGUAUCACUGAGACGCCUAACAACCUAACAAGCUCAUAACAACUAAGGAGAUGGUUAGCCAGUGGUCACAUACUAAAUCGCCGCUCCAGGAUCAAAUAACAACAAAAUCACCAUGGAAUUACCUCGAGAUAAACACAGAUCUGGCCGCAAGAGGGCGCGCACCACCACCAGCUUCAGCAUUCUCCUCAGCAGCCUCUCCCGGGAGCUCUAGCAGGAAGAGAUUUAUCGUGUAUAUCUUGUAAAAUCCGCCUCCCUGGUGUGUUUGUGUGGACGCUAAUCACAUCUGCAAGCCACCGGUAGAAGCUCAAGCAGUCUAGUGUGUGUGUGUAUAUUGCAAUAAUGACAACACAGCAUAUGAAACGAUGCAGUGCAGGCAGACCACAGAGCCCCCGCCCCCUCCUGCCUCCAGCCAAGUCCAUAACUCAUUGAAAGAAAAAAAAUACGAGGGAGCGAUGGAAGUGAGUGAAGAAGCGAAGCAAGAAGAGAAAUAGAGGAACGAGAGAGGAGGAGAAAUGAAUGAGGCAGGAAGUGAGGGAAUGAAUGAGGAGGGGGAGGGGGAGCGCGAGCCAUGAUUUGGAAACGGCCAAGACUCCCUUUAGCGAAUACGAGAUGCGGGGAAGGAAAAGAAGGACCAGUGGCUAUUUAGAAGCAUCGGAAAGCCCACUAGUGAAGCUGCCUUUGACUGGACACCUGCUACUGGGGGUCAUAUCAUCGCUUGAGGUGGGUGGAGUUAUCCUGCAUCGGUUUACUGCAAGUUUUCUCGAGUAUAACCCAAUCUAACCAUCUAGACUCCUUGGUUUACUUAGACACAUCUGCAUUUAGUGGAAUUCAUGUUCUUGAUCUAUUCUGCCAUCUGCAAUUGUAGAAUCUUAUGAAAGUUUCUCUGUACCAAAGGCGCCCACCUCGACACGUCACUUGUCACUUCUCUCCUUUCCCAACCAUGAAUGUCCCCCUCAUAUUAGUUAUUUUUCCCUGGUAAAUUGCUGUUACUAGAGGGUUGUCAGGCACCAUAGGGAUUCAGGUAGUCAUACAUUAGUGAUAACUGCCAUUAAGAGGAAAGUCUUAAUUGUAUUUUUGGUUUCUGAUAUAAACACUUUUUAGAGAUCUCAAGGCUGUGUGAAGCUUUGUCUUGUAGGAAAGCUGUGUGCUUGUUAAGGCUAGAUUACUUCACUGUGAGGAACAAAGCACCCCCUGUAGUAUGCUGUGUAGGAAGCCCAAGUUAGUGUAUGGUUACUGAGGAGAGUCAAAUGAUGGUACAAUCCUUUUGCAUUAGAAUUAUUCGAUAAGGCCCGGCCGUAGUCGCCAUAAGGCGUUUGAUUCAGUGUAUCGCCGAGGUAC